CUCUCCUGCCUGCUUCUGUGUGAUAUGUUUGAUAUUGGGUUGUUUGGUCAGGAGCCAACUGAAUAUCGAACAUACUCUCACGGAGGCGGGCAAUUCGGCAUCAGCCUCU
rnacentral:miRNA from 1 species